rnacentral:rRNA from 1 species
CCUACGGGAGGCAGCAGUGGGGAAUAUUGGACAAUGGGGGAAACCCUGAUCCAGCCAUGCCGCGUGUGUGAAGAAGGCCUUUUGGUUGUAAAGCACUUUAAGCAGUGAAGAAGACCUAACGGUUAAUACCCGUUAGCGAUGACAUUAGCUGCAGAAUAAGCACCGGCUAACUCUGUGCCAGCAGCCGCGGUAAU